rnacentral:rRNA from 1 species
UACGUAGGCAGCAAGCGUUUGUUCGGAGUUACUGGGCGUAAAGGGUGUGUAGGCGGUUGUUUAAGUUUGGUGUGAAAUCUCCCGGCUCAACUGGGAGGGUGCGCCGAAUACUGAAUGACUAGAGUGCGGGAGAGGAAAGUGGAAUUCCUGGUGUAGCGGUGAAAUGCGUAGAUAUCAGGAGGAACACCGGUGGUGUAGACGGCUUUCUGGACCGUAACUGACGCUGAGACACGAAAGCGUGGGUAGCAAACAGG